rnacentral:rRNA from 1 species
UACGGAGGGUGCAAGCAUUGAUCGGAAUUACUGGGCGUAAAGGGCGCGUAGGCGGCAAAAUAAGUCAGAUGUGAAAUUCCACGGCUCAACCGUGGAGCUGCAUUUGAAACUGUUUAGCUAGAGCAUAGUUAGGGAAAACGGAAUUCCACAUGUAGCGGUGAAAUGCGUAGAUAUGUGGAGGAACACCGGUGGUGAAGACGGUUUUCUGGGCUAUAGCUGACGCUGAGGCGCGAAAGUGCGGGGAUCAAACAGG